GACAGAGGGUGCAAACGUUGUUCGGAAUUACUGGGCGUAAAGCGUGCGCAGGCGGCCUUGCAAGUCGGGCGUGAAAUCCCACGGCUCAACCGUGGAAGUGCACUCGAAACUGCUUGGCUAGAGUCUUGGAGAGGAAGGCGGAAUGCUUGGUGUAGAGGUGAAAUUCGUAGAUAUCAAGCGGAACACCGGUGGCGAAGGCGGCCUCUGGACAAUGACUGACGCUAAAACACGAAAGCGUGGGGAGCAAACAGG
rnacentral:rRNA from 1 species